rnacentral:misc_RNA from 1 species
GGUUAUUUGAAUUUUAUUUACAGAAACAGUUUUAUGUUGAUCCAAUUUGCAUGUCAUUAGGUGAGACAUAAAUUUGCCUUUUUAUUGUAUUUUGAGUAUCGUCUAUAAAAUUGGGGACUGAAUUUUUUUAUAGGAACUGGUAUCUGUAAAAGAUUUAGUAAUGAAUUAAUAUAAGAUAUUUCAGUACCAGUGAAAAGAGAGAGAGAGAGAGAGA